rnacentral:rRNA from 1 species
GGCUCAGUAACACGUGGACAACCUGCCCUUGGGAGGGGGAUAAUCUCGGGAAACUGAGAAUAAUACCCCAUCGGCUUAGGCUACUGGAAGGUGCCUAAGCUCAGAGCUCCGGCGCCCAAGGAUGGGUCUGCGGCCUAUCAGGUAGUAGUGGGUGUAACGGACCCACUAGCCUUUCGACGGGGUACGGGCUUAUGGAAGUAGUCGCCCGGAAGAUGAACUUUGAAGACACGAAGUCCAGGCCCCACGGGGCGCAGCAGUUACGAAAACUUCGCAAUGGGCUCACGCCCGACGAGGGGACUCCCAGUGCCUGCGCACUGCGUAGGCUUUUCUCUGGCCUAAAAAGCAAGAGGAAUAAAAGGCGGGCAAGACGGGUGCCAGCCGCCGCGGUAACACCCGCGCCUUGAGUGGUGGUCGUUAUUACUGAGCCUAAAGCGUCCGCAGCCGGCUUCGUAAAUCCUUGGGUAAAUCGGGCCGCUCAACGGUUCGCCCUCCGAGGACACUGCGAGGCUUGGGACCGGGUGAGGCGAGAAGGUACUCCCGGGGUAGGGGUAAAAUCCUGUAAUCCUGGGAGGACUACCGGGUUGCGAAGGCGUCUCGCUAGAACGGAUCCGACGGUAAGGGACGAAAGGCCUGGGGCGCAAACGGGAUUAGAUACCCCGGUAGUCCAGGCUGUAAACGCUGCGAGCUUGGUGUUGGGGCUCCUACGAGGGGUCCCAGUGCCGUAGCGAAGGUGAUAAGCUCGCCGCUUGGGGAGUACGGCCGCAAGGCUGAAACUCAAAGGAAUUGACGG